rnacentral:rRNA from 1 species
AAAUUUACUUUCUUUAUUUUAAAUAAAUAAAUUGAUUUUUAGAUCAAAAAGUCUAAAUUUUAUUAAAGGACGAGAAGACCCUAUAGAACUUUAUUUCAUUAAAAAUAUUUAUUUACUUGUAAAUAAUUUUUAUUUAUUUUUAAUGAAAUUUUGUUGGGGUGACAAAAAAAAUUUUAUAACUUUUUUUAUUUAUUUCAUUUAUAUAUGAAUACUUGAUCCUUUAUUAAGGAUAAAAGAUUAAGUUACCUUAGGGAUAACAGCGUUAUUAUUUUAGAAAGUUCAUAUUGAUAAAAUAGUUUGCGACCUCGAUGUUGGAUUAAAAUUAGUUUCAGGAGUAGAAGAUUGAU